CCUACGGGUGGCAGCAGUGGGGAAUAUUGCACAAUGGGCGCAAGCCUGAUGCAGCCAUGCCGCGUGUGUGAAGAAGGCCUUCGGGUUGUAAAGCACUUUCAGCGGGGAGGAAGGCGUUAAGGUUAAUAACCUUGGCGAUUGACGUUACCCGCAGAAGAAGCACCGCCUAACUCCGUGCCAGCAGCCGCGGUAAUACGGAGGGUGCAAGCGUUAAUCGGAAUUACUGGGCGUAAAGCGCACGCAGGCGGUCUGUCAAGUCGGAUGUGAAAUCCCCGGGCUCAACCUGGGAACUGCAUUCGAAACUGGCAGGCUAGAGUCUUGUAGAGGGGGGUAGAAUUCCAGAUGUAGCGGUGAAAUGCGUAGAGAUCUGGAGGAAUACCGGUGGCGAAGGCGGCCCCCUGGACAAAGACUGACGCUCAGGUGCGAAAGCGUGGGGAGCAAACAGGAUUAGAUACCCGAGUAGUC
rnacentral:rRNA from 1 species